CCGUGAGGUGUCGGGUUAAGUCCCAUAACGAGCGCAACCCCUAUCAUAGUUGCCAUCAGGUCAAGCUGGGGACUCUAAUGAAACUGCCUACGCAAGUAGUGAGGAAGUGGGGGAUGACGUCAAAUCAGCAGGCCCUUACGUCCAGGGCUACACACGUGCUACAAUGGCAUAUACAAAGGGUUGCGAAGCCGUGAGGUGGAGCGAAUCUCAAAAAAGCCGGCCUCAGUUCGGAUUGGAGGCUGCAACUCGCCUCCAUGAAGUCGGAAUCGCUAGUAACCGCAGAUCAGCUACGUUGCGGUGAAUACGUUCCCGGGCCUU
rnacentral:rRNA from 1 species